rnacentral:rRNA from 1 species
CCCCUGCUGGUAGUUGCCACCGGUUCGGCCGGGCACUCUACCGGGACUGCCGCCGUAAGGCGCGAGGAAGGCGGGGAUGACGUCAAAUCAGCACGGCCCUUACACCCGGGGCGACACACGUGUUACAAUGGCCGGUACAGGGGGCAGCCACCUGGUGACAGGGCGCUAACCUCCAAAGCCGGUCGUAGUUCGGACUGGAGUCUGCAACCCGACUCCACGAAGCUGGAUUCGCUAGUAAUCGGAGGUCAGCAUACUGCGGUGAAUCCGUUGUCGACGCGGCCG